rnacentral:rRNA from 1 species
UUUUGUGGCUAGGGGUGAAAUUCCAAUCGAACCUGGAGAUAGCUAGUUCUCCCCGAUAUAGCUUUAAGGCUAGCGUCGAGGUAAAGGAUUAUGGAGGUAGAGCUCUGAAUGUGUGAUGGCCCCACCUAGGGGUACUGAUCACAAUUAAACUACGAAUGCCAUAAUUUCAUACUCGGCAGUCAGAACAUGGGUGAUAAGGUCCAUGCUCGUGAGGGAAACAGCCCAGAUCAACAACUAAGGUCCCUAAAUUUACGCUAAGUGUGUAAGGAUGUGGAAGUGCACAGACAGCUAGGAUGUUGGCUUAGAAGCAGCCAUCAUUUAAAGAGUGCGUAACAGCUCACUAGUCGAGUGCUUCUGCGCCGAAAAUGUACCGGGGCUUAAGCGUAGUACCGAAGUUUUGGAUUUGGUAGCAAUACCAAGUGGUAGGGGAGCGUUCUAAUUGCGAUGAAAUUCGACCGUGAGGACGGGUGGAGCGAUUAGAAGUGAUUAUGCCGGCAUGAGUAACGUUUGGGAGUGAGAAUCUCCCAUGCCGUUUGACCAAGGUUUCCUGGCAAGGUUCUCCACCCAGGUAGCAG